AUCUAACUGUUGAAUAUAUACAGUAAAAAUACUAAAAUGAAAGUUUUGACACACCAUGCGAAUGUCCUAUCAAGUAAAGGUGACGAUUAACCAAAAUGAAGUGUAAUAUAACCUAAUUUCAAUGGGUUUUAUGCGGUUCGAGUGUUCACAAAACACCGGUUGACCUUGAAAAUGACAUGGGACGAUGAUGGGUAAAAAACAAUCUCGUCGAAUAACAUUUCUCAAUUAUCAACGAGUUUAAGCCGUUGACACUGCAUUGCAUGGGAAGAAAAGGUGAUAUUAGAACAGUGUUCAGAUGGAUCUAUUCAGUGUCAUAACUGUAAAAUAAUGGUCGCAUCGUCAGUGCUAUGACAUGUCGGACACAGACCUAAAAUCAUGGUCUCCAUCGUACCUUAAGUUUGUGUGUCAAAAGUGUGGAUUUCGUAAUGGAAAGUACGACGUCGAAGCUGCACUCAAGAGCAGUCAUGUGCAAUAGGUGCGUAUCUAAAAUUCUUGUCAAGAGAGUCUACAGACAGUUGGUGCCCUGGAGAUUGGAGACUCCCAUCAUAUGCUGUCACUAAAUGGAGCGCAGUAAAUUUUGCGACCUACACAUUUUCCAACGUACUUAAAAUGGUUUUUUUUUCAUAAAAAAGUGAUAUUUAUAAUUAUAUGAAUAUCAUAAGCAGUUAGUAGGUAGUUCUUUGAGGAGAGUGAUGUUGACCAACAUUGACGUUACGUUUUAUUUAUUUGUAACAAU